GACGAACGCUGGCGGCGUGCUUAACACAUGCAAGUCGAGCGGUAAGGCCCUUUCGGGGGUACACGAGCGGCGAACGGGUGAGUAACACGUGGGUGACCUGCCCUCAGCUCUGGGAUAAGCCUGGGAAACUGGGUCUAAUACUGGAUAUGACUCCACGGUGCAUGUCGUGGGGUGGAAAGCCUUGUGCGGCUGAGGAUGGGCCCGCGGCCUAUCAGCUUGUUGGUGGGGUNAUGGCCUACCAAGGCGACGACGGGUAGCCGGCCUGAGAGGGCGACCGGCCACAC
rnacentral:rRNA from 1 species